UGAGAUUUGUCUCUACAUACCAUGGCUCCC
rnacentral:piRNA from 1 species